GGGAGAGUCAAAUUUGCAUGAGGACUUUUGAGAAAAAUCAAGGAUGCCUGAGGGGAUUUGAGUCCUACAGGCUCAGCACUUAUGAAAAAGGAUAAAGUCCUUCCCAGCCUGGCAGGAGAAGGAAAAGCCUGUGGUGGGGGAAGGGAGUGAAGGCGUGUGCCUCCUCAUGGAACACAGGGUCGGAGUCGGCUAGGAGGGAUAAGAGUACAAUAGAGGGUUGUGUGACACAGACAGGCUGCCAGCCCUCAGCAUGGACCCGGCACAUGGAAUCUGUGAUCUUAAAAGAGUCAAGUGACUACCUUUGGCAACCAAAAGAGACACUGCCUUUUAGAAGGCAUAUCAUCUGAAACUGGCUGAAAGAGCUGUCUUACUUAGGAAGAAAAAUCUCUCCUUUGGAAAGAGCUGGAACUUUUAGUAAAACUGAACAGUGAGGUGGCGGAAGAUAAAUAUGCUGAGGCAUGUUUUCAAGGAGGGGAGAGAGAUUCCUUUUCCUCAGCCGGGCACAGAGCCAACCUGAAGUGUAGCACUGUGGUGACCUGGCGGGAUCUGCUCUCCAGUCACUCCCGAGGGCCCUUCUGGGGACAAGGAGACUUUUCUGUGCGGCCUGUUGAUUUGAGUAGUAGAGAUGAUGUCUUGCCACAUUGCCCAGGCUGGUCUCAAACUCCAGGCCUAAAGGGAUCUUCUGACUUUGGCCUCCCAAAGUGCUGAGAUUAUAGGAUCGAGGCUAUCAAGCUACAGAUGAUCUUACAAAUGGAACCCCAAAUGAGCUCAACUAACAACUACCAAGGACCCCUGGACCAACCCGCUGGCCCUUUCAAUGGCCUAAAGAGUUCCCCUCUGGAGGACACUACAACUGCAGGGUCCUUUCUUUGCCCCUAUCCAGCAGGAAGUAGCUAGAGUGGUCAUCACCCAAUUCCCAACAGCAGUUGGGGUGUCUUGUUAAGUGGGGAGAUUGAGAGGUGAAGCCAGCUGGGCUUCUGGGUUGGGUGGGGACUUGGAGAACUUUUCUGUCUAGCUAGAGGAUUGUAAACACACCAAUCAGUGCUAUGUGUCUAGCUAGAGGUUUGUAAAUGCACCAAUCAGCACUCUGUAAAAACGGACCAAUCAGCACUCUGUAAAAUGGACCAAUCAGUAGGAUGCGGGCAGGGCCAAAUAAGGGAAUAAAAGCUGGCCACCUGAGUCAGCAGUGGCAACCCACUCGGGUCCCCUUCCAUGCUGUGGAAGCUUUGUUCUUUCACUCUUCACAAUAAAUCUUGCUGCUGCUCACUCUUUGGGUCCACACCACCUUUAUGAGCUGCAACACUCACUGCGAAGGUCUUCAGCUUCACUCCUGAAGUCAGCGAGACCACGAACCCAUGGGGAGGAACAAUCGACUUCAGACAUGCCACCUUUAAGAGCUGUAACACUCACUGCGAAGGUCUGUGGCUUCACUCCUGAAGUCAGCAAGACCACGAACCCACUGGAAGGAAGAAAUUUCGGACACAUCUGAACAUCUGAAUGAACAAACUCUGGACACGCCAUCUUUAAGAACUGUAACACUCACUGUGAGGGUUCAUGGGUUCAUUCUUGAAGUCAGCAAGACCAAGAACCCACCAGAAGGAACCAAUUCCGGACACAGACUCACUGCAACCUCCACCUCCUGGAUUCAAGUGAUUCUCCUGCCUCAGCCUCCGGAGUAGCUGUGCCUACAGGCACAAGCCACCACACACGGCUAAUUUUUUGUAUUUUUAGUAGAGAUGGGGUUUCACCAUGUUGCUCAGGCUGGUCUCCAACUCCUGAGCUCAAGUGAUCCACCUGUCUCGGCCUCCCAAAGUGUUGGGAUACAUGUGUGAGCCACUGUGCCCGGCCUCCUCUGGAUUAGUUCUUACAGGAAUAGAUUAGUUCUUGCUCGAGCAAGUUGUUAUAAAAGUGAGGUUGCCUCUAGUGUUUUGCAUCCUCACAUAUGUCUGCUUACCUCUUGACCUCUCUCUGUGUUAUGACCCAGCACAAAAGCCCUUACCAGAAGCCAAGCAGAUGCUGAUGCCACACCCCUUGGACUUCUCAGUCUACAGAGCCAUGAAACGAAUAAACCUCUCUUUAUAAAUU
rnacentral:lncRNA from 1 species